rnacentral:rRNA from 1 species
CAAGGAAUUUUCCGCAAUGGGCGCAAGCCUGACGGAGCAACGCCGCGUGGGGGACGACGCUUUUCGGAGUGUAAACCCCUUUUCUCAGGGAAGAACACUGACGGUACCUGAGGAAGAAGGCCCGGCUAACUACGUGCCAGCAGCCGCGGUAAUACGUAGGGGCCGAGCGUUGUCCGGAGUUACUGGGCGUAAAGCGCGCGCAGGCGGCGGACUAAGCCCGGCGUGAAAGCCCCCGGCUCAACCGGGGAGGGUCGUCGGGGACUGGUCCGCUUGAGGGCGGCAGGGGCUGGUGGAAUCCCCGGUGUAGUGGUGAAAUGCGUAGAGAUCGGGGGGAACACCCGUGGCGAAGGCGGCCAGCUGGGCCGGCCCUGACGCUGAGGCGCGAAGGCGUGGGGAGCGAACGG